rnacentral:snRNA from 1 species
AUGCCUUCUCGGCCUUUUGGCUAAGAUCAAGUGUAGUGCAGAUUAUCACUCCUUCCUCACGCCUCCAACCCCUGAUCAUGAACAUCUAGCCUUUUGCCAUAUGUAAAAUUCACGAAAUCUGUUCGAAUCCUGAAUGUAAUUGUCUUUUUUUUUUUUUCCUUUUGAUAAAUUAGAAACAGCAUCU